rnacentral:rRNA from 1 species
UCGGCGUCAGCGGCGGAGGGUAGUAUGCCUGGGAAUCGCCCCGAUGUGGGGGUAACCAUCGGAAACGAUGGCUAAUACCGCAUAACGCCUUCGGGCCAAAGAGGGGGGACCUUCGGACCUCUCGCGUCAGGAUAUGCCCAGGUGGGAUUAGCUAGUUGGUGAGGUAAAGGUUCACCAAGGCGACGAUCUCUAGCUGGUCUGAGAGGAUGAUCAGCCACACUGGAACUGAGACACGGUCCAGACUCCUACGGGAGGCAGCAGUGGGGAAUAUUGCACAAUGGGCGCAAGCCUGAUGCAGCCAUGCCGCGUGUAUGAAGAAGGCCUUCGGGUUGUAAAGUACUUUCAGCAGUGAGGAAAGGUGUGAGGUUAAUAGCCUUAUAUCUUGACGUUAGCUGCAGAAGAAGCACCGGCUAACUCCGUGCCAGCAGCCGCGGUAAUACGGAGGGUGCGAGCGUUAAUCGGAAUUACUGGGCGUAAAGCGCAUGCAGGUGGUUUGUUAAGUCAGAUGUGAAAGCCCGGGGCUCAACCUCGGAACCGCAUUUGAAACUGGCAGGCUAGAGUACUGUAGAGGGGAGUAGAAUUUCAGGUGUAGCGGUGAAAUGCGUAGAGAUCUGAAGGAAUACCAGUGGCGAAGGCGGCUCCCCUGGACAGAUACUGACACUCAGAUGCGA